CCUACGGGAGGCUGCAGUGAGGAAUAUUGGUCAAUGGCCGGAAGGCUGAACCAGCCAUGCCGCGGGAAGGUCAGGGCCCUAGGGGCGUUAAACUUCUUUUGUGCGGGAGCAAUAAUGGUCACGUGUGGCCAGACGAGAGUACCGUACGAAUACGCAUCGGCUAACUCAGUGCCAGCAGCCGCGGUAAUACGGGGGAUGCAAGCGUUAUCCGGAUUUAUUGGGUUUCAGGGGUGCGUAGGUUGGGAGGUAAGUCAGCGGUGAAAUGCCCCCGCUCAACGGGGUGAAGUGCCAUUGAUACUGCCUUGCUGGAAUGCGGAUGCCGUGGGAGGAAUGUGUGGUGUAGCAGUGAAAUGCGUAGAUAUCGAGAGGAACACUCGUGGCGAAGGCGGGUUCCUGGACAUUAACUGACGCUGAGGCACGAAGGCCAGGGGAGCGAAAGGGAUUAGAUACCCGGGUAGUC
rnacentral:rRNA from 1 species